GGACCCAUAGCUCAGCGGUAGAGCAUCUGAUUCCAGCUUCAAAUGAAACUGCCUCCAGAAGUGAGUAAAGCUCAUAGAUCAUGCCUAAAUUGGCUUUAACUAACCAAGUCGUCUAGGGUCAUCCGUUCAAAUCGGGUUGGGUUCA